rnacentral:ncRNA from 1 species
AAACAUCAACGGCUCGUUUGAGAGACACCCAAGUAGCACGGGGCCCGAGAAAUCCCGUGUGAAUCUGGCGGGACCACCCGUUAAGCCUAAAUAUUCCCUGGUGACCGAUAGCGGAUAGUACCGUGAGGGAAUGGUGAAAAGUACCGCGGGAGCGGAGUGAAAUAGUACCUGAAACCGUGUGCCUACAAGCCGUGGGAGCGUCGC